UGGAAGACCUCACGGUGCAAAUUGCCCACAGGAGCCUAGAGGGAGUCUAUCGUUCUACCUUAAUUGUAUCUUCAGGAUGAAAAGACAGGUCAUGAAAGAAGAAAGUGGUUCCAUGCCAUUCCCCAAAUUAUUUCAAGACUGAACCGAAGCUUCGCGUUCUGAUUGGCUUUUCCACAUGCCCUGAUCCUCUCGAAUUUUACCAUGCCUAGGUAGGUCAUGGUUUCCUCUUUCAGUCACUCCUUCCUCUAGCAAGGAUUUAUUUUGUUCCACAUUUGUGCCAGGAGUUCCAUAUUUGUGUCUAGGAGCUGGGGAUAUAACUAGGGAGCAACUCCUACUCAUGGGGUCAGGAGAUAGUCAUUAAUUAACUACCUGUAUGGGUUAUAAAACGGGAUGUAGCAGGCAUUUGGGGAGCCUACAGUAGGGAAAGUGAACGUGAUCUGUAAGAUUGGGACACUCUAGAGAUUGAAUGGAUACUAACACCUACCAAAAAGGCCCAGGAGGAUUGGGCCUCAAGAGACUCAUCUACCCUCCCACCUGGAGGACCAGUGCAGUGACUGUCCUAACUCGCCUCUUCCGCAUCUACUUUACCCUUUCCUCAUUUUGUAGCAGCUGCAUGGGUUGGGUAAGACUGACAGGCGCCUAGCUCAAGGGGUAGCCUUCCUCUGGCAUGGUACAUUAGCUCAACAGUAUCACGUGACCCGGGCUGACUCAUCAAAAAAGUCCAGGGCUUUGGCUCAAGGGCAGGAUGACCCUAUGAUGCCAUGAGAAGACAUGACGUCACUUACUACCACCGGACAAGCAGCCAGCCUCCCUCACCUGACUCCCAGUUUACUUUGUACCCCACAUUUUUUUUGUGCUUUAUCCGUCUCUCUGCCCGUCCAAGUAUUAUUCAAGACCCAUAAAGCCCUUCCCUGAGCAAGCCUCCACUUUUUUCUCACGUCCACCCCCUGAAAUUUACCACACUUGAUUUUCUACUUUAAAGUCCCCAGAAGGAGUUAUUCCCCUGGGCGGUCGGUGAACGUACCAUUUGUUGACCAAUAACUGGUCACCUGGUGGUGAGGUCUGGGGUCACACCCAGGGAGGGAUGGCGAUGGCCAGGCCGUAUGGAACAGUGUGAAAGGGGUAGUGCUCUGGCCUAACGGAGAGCCAGGAGACCCGGGUUCAUUCUGGUUCCUCUGUGAUAAGCAACAAACACUCGGUAUCACUCUUUAGCUCCUAAACUGGUCUAAUGGGCGUUAGGCUUUUUUAUUUCUGAAAGUAACUCCAUGAGAUAGAGGUUACUAAAACUUCGCCUUAUUGAUGAGGACACUGGGGCUCCAAGAUGCUGAGUGACUUCCCCACGGCCCCAAUCCGAGAAGUGGUGGAUGUGGGACGAGAAGCUAGCGGGUCCUUCUGUCCCAGAGGCCUAAGCUCUUCACACGGCUGCCUUGCCACUGAGCACUUUGAGUUUCAGUGUUGUCAACUCUCAUAGAGAAAAAUAACCUUUAUUUGCCAGAAUUUGGGGUGAAUGAACGGGCAACAUGGAUUUGAAAGCAUUUUGAGAAGUUCAGAGCCGUCUGCCAACGGGGGGUGGGGAGGGGAGCCUUAUCUAGGAGACGGGCCUUGAGAACGCUUCUCAUUUUUACUUCUCAUUUCCCUAAGGAUGGCUAGAAGUGAGAAACAGAUUUCCCCAAACUUCUUUGGUUGGCUUCUCAGCAGGAUGAACUUCUCAGAAGAUGGUCUGGAGCCUAAUGCUUUUGACCAUUCACUGGCUAAUUCACGGCAGAAUGGUUAUGCCCAAUCACCCCGCAUGCCCCGCUGUAUCACUUAGUCCUCCCAAAAUCUGUGAGGGAGAAGCAGACUAUUGAGCCCAUUUUCCGGAUGAGAAUCCUGAGUCCGCAAGAGCUGUUUCUUGGCCCCUCUGAACGUGGCCAGGGUGGUUCCUGUUGGUACAUCCACAUCCUGAGCCUGGAGUGACCUGCUCUCUUCUUGGGCAUCUUCAGCCCCUACCUUGGCCUCGGGUAGCUGGAGAGGUAAGGAAUCUCAACAGCUCUCCUGGGGAAGAUUCAGCUCAAAUCCGCAAUUACAGAGGGCUUCUCCGGGGUCCAGCACAUUGUCAGGCAACUGGGUGUGAUGAAAAGAACACUAACUAGCUUUGGAAACCCAGUCCCUGCCCUA